UACAGAGGUGGCAAGCGUUGUUCGGAAUUACUGGGCGUAAAGGGCGCGUAGGCGGUUCGAUAAGUCCCGUGUGAAAUCCCUCGGCUCAACUGAGGAACUGCACGGGAAACUGACGGGCUUGAGUUCGGGAGAGGGAAGCGGAAUUCCGGGUGUAGCGGUGAAAUGCGUAGAUAUCAGGAGGAACACCGAUGGCGAAGGCAGCUCUCUGGGACGGUACUGACGCUGAGACGCGAAAGCGUGGGGAGCGAACAGG
rnacentral:rRNA from 1 species